CUUUCUCCUGCUACAGAAGAUAUGUUCCGCCAGUAGGCAAUGCGAAAGUAUGUAUUAAGUGGCAGCUAUCUUCUCAGAAGUUCUGCCGCCACUUGUUGGCAUUGAUUUGAAAAGGUUCAGAGAACUUCACCUUACUGUUACGCCUAUCAGGAGUGGCGAUCUUUAAGAUUGUACGAUUCUCCACAUGUUCUGAAGAUCAGAACGGUAUCCAGUUCUGCUUUUGUGACUCCAAUCUGCAGGUAUGUAUGGUUUUCACUUGAUCAUUAGCUUCCUGAAUAUGCUUUUGUUGUUUGGCACUGAUCUUUUUGUGCCAUAAUAUGGCAGUGAUCGUCCUUCAGGUGUUCCUUUCAGUUUGCUCCAUGUCGACAAACACCUACACAGAGGACUCCUGUUGGUGUUUGCACCUUCCCAUGUGCACAUAUCCGGGCUCCUGCUCACGCUUACAAAACCAAGAAAGAUCCUCAUCCCUGGUACAAUCCAAUCAUGCUAUCCGAAUUACAGAAAUAUAAAUAAUCCAAUGUAGCUUCCUUUUCUAACAAGAACUAUUGAUGUCUUCGACAGCUUGGCAGCUUUCUGUUCUGUCCUGGACUACAGUACCCUUACUUUCAGAAUGGUGUAUUACACAGGAUGGUGAAUAUCUAUUCUAUUUUCUGAACUUAACUUUCGGUUGCAUGACUCAUGGUGAAUAUCUAUUCUACAGCACCCUUUCUUUAAGGCCGUACAUUCAGUAUUCUUCUUUCAGAACUGGAAGCAGACCUUUCACUUUGUGAAACAAACACGGAACAUGCGAUGACGGCAGAUACAACCUACUCCCAGUUUCUGCGAUGUUAGUAAUCCAGCUUUUUGGUUGACAAAUAAUGUGCUUGCUUCUGUAUGCUCCUGUGCCUACUUUCUUAACACAUCUGAAUCCUGACAGGGGCACCAUGCACUGCUAUUAUCCUUCUGCGUUUUGUCGCGUGCAUAUCUUCAGGAGCUAAUCGGAACAAGUCAAUACAGUUGGCAUCAUUCACACCGCAACCUGAAGCCGCAGAUAUAUAGCAGAGAAGCUAUAUUAGCUAAUGGUGUAUUUCUUUUACAGGGUGCUACAAAUGUAACUCUUCUAUCCUGAGAUUAUUUCUGCAUUCGUGUUAAUUAGCCUCUCUACAGUCCUUACCCAAGUUAUUUGAACCUUGGAUUUCUUUGGUUUCUUACUGAAUUAUUCUUGUAGGAUUAAAGCGGAUGGUUCCUGAAACUAUGGGCGUCCAGCCCCCCUGCUACAUAAUAUAUGUUCCACAUGCCACCAGCAGGCAACAUCUACUACAGAAGUAUGUAUCGAGUUGCAGCUAUCUUCUCAGAAAUUCUGCCACGACUUUUUGGAAUAUUGGUUUCACUGGCCACCAUUUAAAAAGCUUAGAAAAAUCAAUCAUUAAAUCAAGCGCAUCUACCAGGAAGUCUGCGGGUACGUAUGGUUUUGGAGUGACCAUUAGCUUCCUGAACAUGCUUUAGUUGUUUGUCACUGACUUCCUAUGCCAUAUGGCUAUGAUCGUCCUUCAGGUGCUCCUUUCAGUUUGCCCCUGUCAACAAACCCCUAGACAGAGGGAAAGGAUGAUUCAAAAGUGUAUCAUGACUGUCAUCGACAGUCGGUGGCACAGUCCACGCUCAAUGUUGUCUUGUUUUGUUCGCCGCCGAGCCAGUUGAGCACAGACAGUUGGCGUGAUCUGUUGUCGCUGUAGGAGCUUCCUCAGCCAUCUUGACCAGGUGAUGGUGAUGCAUUCAGCAGAGCAGGGAGGCGUAGAUAAAAAUCCCCAAGGGCGCAAUGUUCACGAUGUGUUGAUGUUCCCCCACUUAUUUCUAGUCAAAUUUGGUUGCGCUUUGUUCUGUAUUCAAGAAUUAGUGAAUAAUGUAAUCGGUGAUUUGGGUGGGAGAAAUUGUAA
rnacentral:lncRNA from 1 species